UCGAGGGGCAGCGGGGAGCAAGCUUGCUUGCUCUGCCGGCGACCGGCGCACGGGUGAGUAACACGUAUGCAACCUGCCCUCCGCAGGGGGAUAACCCGGAGAAAUCCGGACUAAUACCGCGUGGUACACCGGUGGGGCAUCCCACGGGUGUUAAAAGGAAGUGAUUCCGGCGGAGGAUGGGCAUGCGGCGCAUUAGCUAGUUGGCGGGGUAACGGCCCACCAAGGCGACGAUGCGUAGGGGUUCUGAGAGGAAGGUCCCCCACACUGGUACUGAGACACGGACCAGACUCCUACGGGAGGCAGCAGUGAGGAAUAUUGGUCAAUGGGCGGGAGCCUGAACCAGCCAAGUCGCGUGAGGGAAGACGGUCCUAUGGAUUGUAAACCUCUUUAGGCGGGGAGCAAUGCCGGGCACGCGUGCCCGGAGGGAGAGUACCCGCAGAAUAAGCAUCGGCUAACUCCGUGCCAGCAGCCGCGGUAAUACGGAGGAUGCGAGCGUUAUCCGGAUUUAUUGGGUUUAAAGGGUGCGUAGGCGGAUUUUUAAGUCAGCGGUAAAAUGUCCGGGCUCAACCCGGGCCGGCCGUUGAAACUGGGGAUCUUGAGUGGGCGAGAAGUAUGCGGAAUGCGUGGUGUAGCGGUGAAAUGCAUAGAUAUCACGCAGAACUCCGAUUGCGAAGGCAGCAUACCGGCGCCCGACUGACGCUGAGGCACGAAAGCGUGGGGAUCGAACAGGAUUAGAUACCCUGGUAGUCCACGCAGUAAACGAUGAAUGCUAGUUGU
rnacentral:rRNA from 1 species